rnacentral:rRNA from 2 species
CUUGCUGGGGGAUUAGUGGCGAACGGGUGAGUAACACGUGAGUAACCUGCCCUUAACUCUGGGAUAAGCCUGGGAAACUGGGUCUAAUACCGGAUAUGACCUUCCAUCGCAUGGUGGUUGGUGGAAAGCUUUUUGUGGUUUUGGAUGGACUCGCGGCCUAUCAGCUUGUUGGUGAGGUAAUGGCUUACCAAGGCGACGACGGGUAGCCGGCCUGAGAGGGUGACCGGCCACACUGGGACUGAGACACGGCCCAGACUCCUACGGGAGGCAGCAGUGGGGAAUAUUGCACAAUGGGCGCAAGCCUGAUGCAGCGACGCCGCGUGAGGGAUGACGGCCUUCGGGUUGUAAACCUCUUUCAGUAGGGAAGAAGCCGCAAGGUGACGGUACCUGCAGAAGAAGCGCCGGCUAACUACGUGCCAGCAGCCGCGGUAAUACGUAGGGCGCAAGCGUUAUCCGGAAUUAUUGGGCGUAAAGAGCUCGUAGGCGGUUUGUCGCGUCUGCCGUGAAAGUCCGGGGCUCAACUCCGGAUCUGCGGUGGGUACGGGCAGACUAGAGUGAUGUAGGGGAGACUGGAAUUCCUGGUGUAGCGGUGAAAUGCGCAGAUAUCAGGAGGAACACCGAUGGCGAAGGCAGGUCUCUGGGCAUUAACUGACGCUGAGGAGCGAAAGCAUGGGGAGCGAACAGGAUUAGAUACCCUGGUAGUCCAUGCCGUAAACGUUGGGCACUAGGUGUGGGGGACAUUCCACGUUUUCCGCGCCGUAGCUAACGCAUUAAGUGCCCCGCCUGGGGAGUACGGCCGCAAGGCUAAAACUCAAAGGAAUUGACGGGGGCCCGCACAAGCGGCGGAGCAUGCGGAUUAAUUCGAUGCAACGCGAAGAACCUUACCAAGGCUUGACAUGAACUAGUAAGGCGCAGAAAUGCGUCCCCCACUUUGUGGCUGGUUUACAGGUGGUGCAUGGUUGUCGUCAGCUCGUGUCGUGAGAUGUUGGGUUAAGUCCCGCAACGAGCGCAACCCUCGUUCUAUGUUGCCAGCGCGUGAUGGCGGGGACUCAUAGGAGACUGCCGGGGUCAACUCGGAGGAAGGUGGGGACGACGUCAAAUCAUCAUGCCCCUUAUGUCUUGGGCUUCACGCAUGCUACAAUGGCCGGUACAAAGGGUUGCGAUACUGUGAGGUGGAGCUAAUCCCAAAAAGCCGGUCUCAGUUCGGAUUGGGGUCUGCAACUCGACCCCAUGAAGUCGGAGUCGCUAGUAAUCGCAGAUCAGCAACGCUGCGGUGAAUACGUUCCCGGGCCUUGUACACACCGCCCGUCAAGUCACGAAAGUUGGAACACCCGAAGCCGGUGG